CUGCCACAACGGCUUCCUGGCGUGGCAGAUAUACCCAACCGGAGCA
rnacentral:ncRNA from 1 species